CUUCCCAUAAGGAGGUUGUCACCCCAGAAAUGGCUGCUGUCCUCCUCUAACUGAUAUGAAGAGUUAGUUUUCUAUCAGAGUUACCAACCUUCCAUAAAUUGAUGGAUGUCUAUGAACAAGCAACCUGCCUGUGAUACAUUUAACUCCCUCUACCCUACUGUCCCAGCCAAGUUCUGCCUGCAUUUCCUGGCCAUCAUCAUCUGCCUGUGGUUGGAUAUAUGCUUCUUACAGAUCUUCAAGAGGCAGGAAGAAAGGAAAGAAACAAAACAAACAUGGACAUUCUCUUUGAUUUCGAAGGAGAGGCCCAUCAACAACCUCAAAACUAUCUACUUACAAAAACUCAACAAUAAAAAGACCAUUGCUUUUCUAAGAUCACUGUUUAUAAUGCUGACAAAUACUUCUGCAUCCUUCUGCUAUACUACCCCAUUGGUGUGUUUGUAUCCAUCUAUUAUCUCUUGUUUUACAUUUAGAUUCUACAUGUGAUUCAUGAUUUGUUUCCUUCUAUAUUUUUAUGCAGUACCUAGAACAAUACGGUCCUCGUCCAUGACCAUGGCUUGAUGUUAGACUAAUUCUGAAUAAUGAGAAUAUUAAAAAUUCAAAGCAUUAUAUUUAGCUAGAUCAAAAUAAACAUAGUUUGGUCUAAAUCCAUCAGUAUGCAAUCAUUCACAUCACUUAAGUUGGGCUAAAAAUGGUGCACUUGAUCUAAACUUAGUUUGCACCCAACAUGAACUAAAUUUAAAUUGAUAGGGGGUAGACUGGCCUAUUGAACUUUUGCAUGCUUACUUAUUGACCCUCGUUGGUCCUCUGGCAUUGCAGUGUGCAUUGCAGCUCCCUUCUCAACCCUAUCCACACAGGGAGGUGCUCUAGCCCUUAGGCCACACUUGAUUGCUCAGGCAAGCACUGAGCAAACCCCAUCCCUAGGCUUUUUCAGGGCAAAGGAAACUCACCCCUCUUCCCAGCUUCUCUUUAUGCUAUGGCAUGCAGACAGACAAAGGGAGACAAAGGCAGCUGUGUCCCCCACGCUCAUCCCAGGGCCCAGGAUACCUGAAAUCCUGGGCCAUGGCCCCACACAUGAAGACCCCAUCACAAAGAACUCCAUGACCUACAUAUAGACUCAAACAUUGAGACCAAGAAAAACCCUAAGAUUACUAGGUGCACCUCCCGCCCCCCACCUUCCCUACAGCCUCUACAGACAAUCCCCAUGGUCAGAAUCCAUGACCAGGUCAUUAUAGUGAAAAUCCCAAAAGCCAGGUCCCAGUGUAUGGAUGGAGGUGGUCAGUGUUAUGUUUCUUCCCAAUUCAUUAAACUAUAGGGUGAUAAUUUACCAAUUAUUUGGAACUGAGUAGAUCAUUCACCCUCCCCUUCCCUCUUUUCCUUGGGCACAGAACAGGGGUGCUCAGUCCAUGGUCUUGGAUAUUUCAAAGCAGAUCAGUCAACAUGUGGGGACAUAAAUCUGUGUUAGUCACAGCACCAUCUGCUGCUGAGAGUAGCUGACCACUUCUCCCUCUCCUCAAUCUUGAAUGAUGACAUGACACCAGGUCCACCCCACCUCCAUUAACACCUCAGCUGGAUCUGUGGUGUUCUGCCAACCCCCUGCCUCACCUCAGCAAGAAUCAUAAGUAACCUCCCUUCCUUUGUCCCACAACCCUAUGAUACCAACUGACUUUCAUCACAGAAAUGUUGGGAACACAGUAUCACUCCUGUAAUGACAGGUGGUGGGGUAUGGUGUCCCAUGAGUAGGCAGUCCUUGACCAACCCACACAAUGCCAGAAUCCUGAUAGGACUCUGGAUUCCUAGAUCCACAGAGUGAAUAUUUUUUAAUAAACUAUUUCCUAUUGGCAUUCUGUCCCCUUCUUUGUCUAUAGAAAGGUAAAGAGUAUGGAUGUUUUGGGCACUUUUGUGUGAGGUAUGUGAAAGUUAUUUGCAAAGUUUUUAAGAAUAGGUUAAACAAACAAUUAUCAAGAGUCAUUUAGAUAGGGAUAAUCCAGCUGUUAACAGGCUCCUGAGGUUCAUUGAAGCCCUAUAUUCCUUGAUUUUUUGAUUCAAUAACAUCACUGAAUUCUUGUAGUAGGGUUGCAUGUUGCUAUAAACCUGGUGGUCCAGGAGUUCAGUUCUGGACACUACAAGAGCAGCAUUGGCAAACAGGUCUGAUCUAAUUCAGCAAUUCUUGGAUUUAUAAGACGUUUUUCCAAAGUUUGCUUGUACUGUCACCAAACUUUCAUUGAAAAAAAUGGAGACAGUUGUUAAAACAGAAAUAACUUAUGAAAGUCUUUUGCAUGGAAAUGAAUCUGACUUAUUUAAGUGGAAUCUAGAAGUAAGUCCAGGAUUAGGUGUAGGACUCAGAAACACAGCAUUGGUAGCAUUAGUAAUAUUGGAAUAGGUUUUAAAAUAAACCUUUUCAUAGUUAGUAUCCUAUAACACUUUAUUUUUGUUUAUAUAACAUUUGAACUCAAUGGGCAUGUCCACACAUGCAGGCAUAUGCACUUGCAGCAGCUCAAAUGGAAGCAUCACAAAUUUGAUCCAAGGAUUUUUGCCUCAGCGCACAUGCCCAGACAUGCACUUUGGUGUGGGGCAAGUUGCGCCACUGGGGGCAAACUAACUCUGCCCAGCUCCUCUUGGAUCUGAAGGCACAGGAAGCUAAAGCCUGGGGCCAGCACCCAUGCUGGUCCCAGCAACAUAGAAACCUGCCCUGUUGAGCAGUCCAGGGGUACUUGCCCUCAGGAGCUUCUGAGGCCCCACCAGUUGGUAUCUGGGGAUACUACCCCUUGUGCCAGCUGGACUGCUGAAGCACCCUGACCCAGAGUGGCCCCUGUCCCCUCUAUGCAUUGUAGUAGUCUGGCAGUGGGGGCUGCUCCCUGGCUGUGACCUGCUGCCACCUGCAACAGCAUCCACCCCCUUGGACCUGUGGCCCUAUGGCUGCACAGCUGCCAGACCCAGAUGGGGUGCCCCCACUCUGUCAUCUAGGCAGCUAUCACCCAGAACACAUGCUUCUUGUGAUGACCCACUCUGAACUACCCAAGUGUGUCCUCUUGGCCCCAAAUGGCCAACAGGUCAGCCACCCUAUCUGCCCUCCAGCUGGGUCCCCAGUGCUGGCCCUGGACAGGCUCCCCUGCCUGAGUCUCACCACUUGUCUCACCAGCAGAGAUCCUGGUGUUCCUUGUUUAAAAAUUGCAAACUCUAUGAUAAGAAACCCAAAUUUUCAUUAAAAUACCCCAAAUCAUGUUCUUUCACUAUUACAAUGGAAUGCCACUAUAUAGAGAUCAGUUGGGCAAUGUUUUAUUGAUAUAUUUACAAGUUUAAAGCAAUUUGGAAGCCUACCAGUGCAUCUAUUAUUAUAAUAAAAUAAAUUCUAAAUAUCUAUA